rnacentral:misc_RNA from 1 species
UUAAGUUCAGCGGGUAUCCCUACCUGAUCCGAAGUCAAACUCUGAUUGGAAUUGGGUUACGAUGGCAUGACGCCUGCCAGGUCUGAUGCCAGGCGAGAGCUGUUUAGGCCUACUACGCUUUGGCGACCCGCGGAUCAGCAACAAUGCAUUUCGCCCAGGAGGACCGGGAAGGACCGAUCCGCCACGGGCACGACCGAGGU